rnacentral:misc_RNA from 1 species
GAUGAAGAACGUAGCGAAAUGCGAUAAGUAGUGUGAAUUGCAGAAUUCAGUGAAUCAUCGAAUCUUUGAACGCACAUUGCGCCCCUUGGUACUCCAUGGGGCAUGCCUGUUCGAGCGUCAUUUACACCCUCAAGCUCAGCUUGGCGUUGGGCGUCUGUCCCGCUUCGUGCGCGGACUCGCCUCAAAUGCAUUGGCAGCGGUCUUGCCAGCUUCUCGCGCAGCACAUUGCGCUUCUAGAGGCUUUGGCGGAUCGGCGUCCAUCAAGUACACCCACAGUUUGACCUCGGAUCAGGUAGGGAUACCCGCUGAACUUAAGCAUAUCAAUAAGCGGAGGA